rnacentral:rRNA from 1 species
CCUACGGGAUGCAGCAGUGGGGAAUAUUGGACAAUGGGGGGAACCCUGAUCCAGCGACGCCGCGUGAGGGAAGAAGUAUUUCGGUAUGUAAAGCUCUAUCAGUAGGGAAGAAAAUGACGGUAUCUAACGAAUAAGCCCCGGCUAACUACGUGCCAGCAGCCGCGGUAAUACGUAGGGGGCAAGCGUUAUCCGGAUUUACUGGGUGUAAAGGGAGCGUAGACGGUGUAGCAAGUCUGAUGUGAAAGGUCAUGGCCCAACCACAGGACUGCAUUUGAAACUGUUGAACUGGAGUACAGGAGAGGUAAGUGGAAUUCCUAGUGUAGCGGUGAAAUGCGUAGAUAUUAGGAGGAAUACGAGUGGCGAAGGCGGCUUACUGGACCGUAACUGACGUUGAUGCUCGAAAGCGUGGGGAGCAAACAGGAUUAGAUACCCGGGUAGUC